rnacentral:siRNA from 1 species
AUGCUCUCCGUAAUACACAGUCCU